UAGGCUGCAACUCGCCUACAUGAAGUCGGAAUCGCUAGUAAUCGCGGAUCAGCAUGCCGCGGUGAAUACGUUCCCGGGCCUUGUACACACCGCCCGUCACACCAUGAGAGUUUGUAACACCCAAAGCCGGUGGGGUAACCUUUUGGAGCCAGCCGUCUAAGGUGGGACAGAUGAUUGGGUGAAGUCGUAACAAGGUACC
rnacentral:rRNA from 1 species